ACGUACGAGGUUAGGUACGUACUACUGGCUCAGGACGAACGCUGGCGGCGUGCUUAACACAUGCAAGUCGAACGGGCACUUCGGUGUCAGUGGCGAACGGGUGAGUAAUGCGCAGGUAAUCUGCCGCAAAGUCGGGGACAACGUCCCGAAAGGGACGCUAAUACCGGAUGUUGUAGAAGAUUCGCAUGAAACUUCUACCAAAGAUUUAUCGCUUUGCGAGGAGCCUGCGUCCGAUUAGGUAGUUGGUAGUGUAAUAGACUACCAAGCCGACGAUCGGUAGCCGGUCUGAGAGGAUGAGCGGCCACAAUGGAACUGAGACACGGUCCAUACUCCUACGGGAGGCAGCAGUGGGGAAUAUUCCACAAUGGGGGAAACCCUGAUGGAGCGAACCGCCGCGUGAGUGAAGAAGGGCUUCGGCUCGUAAAGCUCUUUUCCUUUGGACGAAUUAGUCUUAUGGACAGUUGACGGUACAGAGGGAAUAAGCCACGGCUAACUACGUGCCAGCCGCCGC
rnacentral:rRNA from 1 species